rnacentral:rRNA from 1 species
CAAUAAGCGGAGGAAAAGAAACCAACAGGGAUUGCCCUAGUAACGGCGAGUGAAGCGGCAACAGCUCAAAUUUGAAAUCUGGUCCCUUGGGGCCCGAGUUGUAAUUUGCAGAGGAUGCUUUUGGCGCGGUGCCUUCCGAGUGCCCUGGAACGGGACGCCACAGAGGGUGAGAGCCCCGUAUGGUUGGACACCAAGCCUAUGUAAAGCUCCUUCGACGAGUCGAGUAGUUUGGGAAUGCUGCUCAAAAUGGGAGGUAAACCCCUUCUAAAGCUAAAUACUGGCCAGAGACCGAUAGCGCACAAGUAGAGUGAUCGAAAGAUGAAAAGCACUUUGAAAAGAGAGUUAAAAAGCACGUGAAAUUGUUGAAAGGGAAGCGUUUGCGACCAGACUUGCGCCCGUCGAAUCAACCGUCCCUCGUGGGCGGUGCACUUCGGCGGGCUCAGGCCAGCAUCAGUUUACUGUAGGGGGAGAAAGGCGCUGGGAAUGUGGCUCUUCGGAGUGUUAUAGCCCGGCGCGUAAUACCCCUCGGUGGACUGAGGACCGCGCGUAUGCAAGGAUGCUGGCGUAAUGG